CCUCUUCACUCGAUCUGCUAAUGAUUUCUGAAGAUUCUCUCCAAAUCCAGCAUCCGAGGUGGAUCCAUUGCAUCUGGAUUACUUCGAGUUCACUGGUCGUGUGAUUGCUUUAGCUUUGAUGCACAAAGUUCAAGUAGGGGUGCUAUUCGACCGUGUUUUCUUCCUGCAGUUGACCGGAAAGAAAAUUGGUUUGGAAGAUAUCAAGAACACGGAUCGGAUCAUGUACAACAGCUGCAAACAGAUUCUAGAGAUGGAUCCAGAGUGUUUCGAUUCAGACGCAGGUCUUGGUCUAACAUUUGUGUCUGAAACCGAGGUGCUGGGAAAAAGGGAAACAAAAGAGCUGCUUAAAGAUGGAAAGUCCAUUGCCGUUACAGGGAACAAUACGUCAAUCUACUAAUCAAACAUCGAUUCGCCACAUCAGUCACUGAGCAAGUAAAUAAGUUUUCUCAGGGCUUCUCGGAUAUCCUUGCAGAUACUGCAUGCUUUUUCAAGCGAUUACACGUAGAGGACUUCGAUUGCAUGCUUGGCGGAGGAGAUAACCUGAUAAGCAUAGAUGAUUGGAAAGCUCAUACAGAGUUCAGUGGAUUCAAAAAGACUGAACGCAUGGCUGGUUCUGGAAGAUUUUGAAGAAAAUGACAGAGGAAGAACGGAGGAGUGUACUCUUCUUUUGGACAUCGACUAGGUUUAUACCAGUGGAAGGGUUUAGAGGGUUAUCAUCAAAGCUUUAUAUAUACAGAUUGCAUGAAGCUAAGGAUCAUCUUCCGACGUCGCCUACUUGCUUUUACCGUCUCUGUUUGCCAAAAUACCCCAAGAUUGGUCUCAUGGAAAAACGACUUGGACUAAUCGCUCAAGAUCAUGUCAGCUCCAGUUUCGGUCAAUGGUAAUUCACUUAUCAAAGAAUGUAAUAUAUCUGAUCUUUAGGUUGGUAGACUGGUGCGUUUGGUGUAUAUAUUUAGCUGUAGUCAUACUCUGUUUAUGACCGGGAUAAUAAGGUUAAACCUUUCUUAAUUAUUGUUUCUAUAACUUAUGAAAAGGAGGAGAAUCAACUUUUGAACAGACA